UGGCUGUCGUCACCUCGUGUCGUGAGAUGUUGGGUUAAGUCCCGUAACGAGCGCAACCCUUGUCCUUAGUUACCAGCACCUCGGGUGGGCACUCUAAGGAGACUGCCGGUGACAAACCGGAGGAAGGUGGGGAUGACGUCAAGUCAUCAUGGCCCUUACGGCCAGGGCUACACACGUGCUACAAUGGUCGGUACAAAGGGUUGCCAAGCCGCGAGGUGGAGCUAAUCCCAUAAAACCGAUCGUAGUCCGGAUCGCAGUCUGCAACUCGACUGCGUGAAGUCGGAAUCGCUAGUAAUCGUGAAUCAA
rnacentral:rRNA from 1 species